rnacentral:rRNA from 1 species
UACGAAGGGGGGCUAGCGUUGCUCGGAAUCACUGGGCGUAAAGCGCACGUAGGCGGAUUGCUAAGUCAGGGGUGAAAUCCUGGAGCUCAACUCCAGAACUGCCUUUGAUACUGGCGAUCUUGAGUCCGGGGAGAGGUGAGUGGAACUGCGAGUGUAGAGGUGAAAUUCGUAGAUAUCGGGAGGAACACCGGUGGCGAAGGCGGCCUUCUGGACAAUGACUGACGCUGAGACGCGAAAGCGUGGGGAGCAAACAGG